GGAUGUGACGGCUAUCUGGCUGCGACAUCUGUCACCCCAUUGAUCGCCAGGGUUGAUUCGGCUGAUCUGGCUGGCUAGGCAGGUGUCCCCUCCCUCCCUCACCACUCCAUGUGUGUCCCUCCCGAAGCUGCGCGCUCAGUCGAAGAGGACAGUCUUCCUUGAAUAGAGAUGGACCGGUCUUCGGUCAAGGGUAUACGAGUAGCUGCACGCCCCUGCAGAACCUCCAAACAAGCUCUCAAGGAUAUGGAUUUGAAUAGGCCGAAAUUUCCAGGAAAAAGACUACCAACAAAUUACAUAUUU
ensembl:misc_RNA 7SK 7SK RNA